GACAUACUCCCUCCGUCCGAAAAUACUUGUCAUCAAAAUGGAUAAAAAGAGAUGUGUCUAGAACUAAAAUAUGUCUACAUACAUCCUCUUUUAUCCAUUUUGAUGACACGUAUUUCCGGACGAAGGGAGUAUGAG
rfam:Triticum aestivum genome assembly, contig: Triticum_aestivum_CS42_TGACv1_scaffold_605551_7DL